GAUUUCUGGUUCGAUGCGUUUGGCCCUCUCGGAGCAAUCCGGCGUGCGUGCCGAUGCGCGUCUGCCAUCCCUUGUAGAGAACGUUUCUACCCUUCACUGGGCCGGAUUCGCAAUCUACAUCUUUUACUUUGAAAAAAUUAGAGUGUUUAAAGCAGGCUUGCGCCUUGAAUACAUUAGCAUGGAAUAAUAAUUUAGGACUUUGUCUCCUAUUUUGUUGGUUUUAAGGGAUGAAGUAAUGAUUGAUAGGGAUAGUUGGGGGUGCUAGUAUUCAUCGGCCAGAGGUGAAAUUCUUGGAUUCGAUGAAGACUAACUUAUGCGAAAGCAUU
rnacentral:rRNA from 1 species